GGAUCAAUAUAUCGGUCGUGCCUCUGGUUCGUACUGGUAUCAUUGAUUUCUCCUUUCUGACGAACCAUGAUGUCAUUAAUUUGGUGUUAUGGGGAGUUAGGACUGUUACUUUGAAAAAAUUAGAGUGUUUAAAGCAGGCAUUAGCUUGAAUACAUUAGCAUGGAAUAAUGAAAUAGGACGUUUGACCCUAUUUUGUUGGUUUCUAGGAUCGACGUAAUGAUUAAUAGGGAUAGUUGGGGGCAUUAGUAUUCAAUUGUCAGAGGUGAAAUUCUUGGAUUUAUUGAAGACUAACUACUGCGAAAGCAUUUGCCAAGGAUGUUUUCAUUAAUCAAGAACGAAAGUUAGGGGAUCGAAGACGAUCAGAUACCGUCGUAGUCUUAACCAUAAACUAUGCCGACUAGGGAUCGGAUGAUGUUAAUUUUAUAAUGACUCAUUCGGCGCCUUACGGGAAACCAAAGUGUUUGGGUUCCGGGGGGAGUAUGGUCGCAAGGCUGAAACUUAAAGGAAUUGACGGAAGGGCACCACCAGGGGUGGAGCCUGCGGCUUAAUUUGACUCAACACGGGGAAACUCACCAGGUCCAGACAUAGUAAGGAUUGACAGAUUGAGAGC
rnacentral:rRNA from 1 species